rnacentral:misc_RNA from 1 species
UAGUAUUCAUUGACAUAAAACUUGUACACCUCUAUAAUGGAAAUAAAGUGACAGCUCUGCAGAUAAACUACCAAUUCAAUGAAUACUAAAGCUAAAACUGUUUGUAGCAGCUGGAACUGCCCCACAAAUAAUGUUUGCUCAAAACAGUACAACGAACCCCUUGAUCUUCAAGAUCAAAUGCAAAGUUGACCUUGAAAACUUGCUAAGCAGAUAGCACCGAGUUAAUGUAAAAUUUGAUUAUAAACCUUUGGGGCUUCAAUUCAAUUACCCUACUGUCAAUCCAAACCCAAAUUUGUAGUCUUUCUUCUUGUGAUCUAACUCAGCAGAAAGAAUAAAAUUGAGACCCAUAUUUAAGCGUUCUUCUAAGAAAGCCGCUGCACAGCCAUUGGAAUCAAUCUU